rnacentral:rRNA from 1 species
UACGUAGGGUGCAAGCGUUGUCCGGAAUUAUUGGGCGUAAAGACGCUCGUAGGCGGUCUGUCACGUCGGCUGUGAAAACCCGGGGCUCAACCCCGGGCCUGCAGUCGAUACGGGCAGACUAGAGUGCGGUAGGGGAGGACUGGAAUUCCUGGUGUAGCGGUGAAAUGCGCAGAUAUCAGGAGGAACACCGGUGGCGAAGGCGGGUCUCUGGGCCGUAACUGACGCUGAGGAGCGAAAGCGUGGGGAGCGAACAGG